AUUAUGCUAAAAAGUAUUUAAAUGGUCGGAUCCUUUCUUAAUUUUUACAUUCAAAGUGGGGAAAUAUGGCCAAACUUAUGAAGUUAUUUUAUGUGAUGAUCCACUUUAUUUCUCUAUUACUUAUUACAACAAAUGUUCGCGCAUAUGAUGAUUGUUAUAAUCAUACUGAAUGUACGAACAAAAUUAAGUGUGUGCCUCCUCGGAUUGCACAAUGUUUCCGGUUCAAAUGUGAUUGUAUUCGUUUGAAUAAUGGUCCAAAAACUCCUUGGAGUGCAACACCAAAGAGAGUGCACAUAAGCCCUACAAGGAAGAAUGAUUUUUAGCACUAGCGAAAAUUGUUUAUGAUAAUAUAUUCCGAUAUGUGAUUGAAUAAAUGUGUUAACAACCAAUAAUUGUUUUUAUUCUUUCCUAAUUUCAAAUACCAUGGUGUUAUGGUUUUAUAAUCUUAUAUAAUUUUAAUGGCAAUAUAUAAAGUAUUAAAUAAUAUUAUUUAGAUUGUCUUUUAUCCUAUUUAUUUCACUAUAAUCUUAUAUAGUUUUAUCCUAUAUAUUUUUUUAAAAAAAAUUCAAUAUGGCAUAAACUUCUUCUGACCUAAGUUGGGUUGAGGGAUGGUGAUAAGAUGUAAACAAUCAACAGAAACAGUCCUGAGAACCUCUUCAUCCUCAGAUAGUUGGAGAUUAAGUGUUGCUGAUGCCCUAAAGGACAACAACUCUCUACUACUCGCAGCAACAAUCUUUUUAGCAAUAAAGAGUUGAAGUUCCAAGAGGAAUGCUUUCGUGGUGUAAAACUGGUACGUUCUUCUUACAAGAAAAGGAAGCCCCAAAUAUGAAGAAGAAGAGAGUUUGAUGGAAGGAAAGUGAAGAAACAAAGCUUUUUAUAAUGAUGAAUACGAAUGGAAUGAAUAUUGGAUGGAUUGAGUCUUGGAGCAAAAGAAAGGGACUUCGAGCUGAUUGAAUGUGAAAAUACGAAGAUUCGGAGACAAAAAUACGUCUCCCCCAAGUCAUAAGCUUGGCACGGCCUGUGCCAUCAUUGGCACGGCUGUGCCACCCUCCAGAGUCGUUUUUGCUGCUUUUGCUUAGAUUUUAAGCUACUCUAUUUUUAGCCCGAAUGUAAUUGCUUAGAUUUUAAGUCGAAUGUAUGCUAUAAAUAGAGUAGCCAUCCAUCACA